AAUCACUUGUUCUCCAAAUAAGGACUUGUAUGAAUGGCCACACGAGGGUUUUACUGUCUCUUACUUCCAAUCAGUGAAAUUGACCUUCCCGUGAAGAGGCGGGAAUAAAAAAAUAAGACGAGAAGACCCUAUGGAGCUUUAAUUAACUAUUCCAAAAGUUAAACAAUUCAACCACAAAGGGAUAAAACAUAACUUAACAUGGACUAGCAAUUUCGGUUGGGGUGACCUCGGAGUACAAAAAACCCUCCGAGUGAUUUUAAUCUAGACAAACCAGUCAAAAUAACCAUAACAUCACUUAUUGAUCCAAAACUUUGAUCAACGGAACAAGUUACCCUAGGGAUAACAGCGCAAUCCUAUUCUAGAGUUCCUAUCGACAAUAGGGUUUACGACCUCGAUGUUGGAUCAGGACACCCAAAUGGUGCAACCGCUAUUAAAGGUUCGUUUGUUCAACGAUUAAAGUCCUACGUGAU
rnacentral:rRNA from 1 species